CCACCCUCCCCCACCCAGACUCCCAGGCCAUUGGGGAAAACCUGAUUCUUUAUUAGCCUUGCACUGUGCUUUACAGUUUUUAAGUGGUGUCCCAGUCUGGGUUUGUUACCCCCAGGUUAGAAUUGAAACCUGAAGUUUAGAGAAGGGAAGUGACCCCAUUUUGCUUUUGGUCUUGGUCUACUAGUGGCUGGCUGUGUGACUGUGAGCAGGUUCAUGUCCUUCUCUGGGCUUCUAAUCCCUUCACUGUGCUGCAAGGUGGUUCAGCCGUGUUCCUGGAUCUGUCCACGGUGCUGAAUGUCUUUAUCCUUGCCACUGCCUGCCUCAGAAUGGCUACUUCUAGAAGGGGAAGUUAGCCACCACGGCAAGAGUACCCUUAUGGAGAGGCUUGCGUAAAAACUAAACCCUUUGACUGACUGCCAGCAAAAAAUGGUUGCCUGACAACAACCACAGAGUGAGCCUGGAAGUGGAUCCCCGUUAAGCCUUCUGAUGACUGCAGCCCUGGCUGACACUUGACUGCAACCUCAUGAGAGAUCCUGAGCCACAAUCUCACAGUCAGUCCACUUCUGGGUUCUCAAUCCUCAGAAAUUGUGUGAGAUAAUAAACAUGUGUUAUUUUAAGCUGCUUCUGGGUUUUCAAUCCUCAGAAAUUGUGUGAGAUAAUAAAUAUGUGUUAUUUUAAGCUGCUAA